rnacentral:lncRNA from 1 species
CUCAAGGCUGGACUGGGGCCCGUUACAUCUCCGUGCCGCAUAAAAAUAAAGAAUGGAAUUCUACGAUACGUCACCAAUCGUUCGAAUUCCGGUUUGCAAACCCCAGCCUUCAGGAAGGGGCGAAUCGACCGCCUCCCUACGCGGAGAAAGUCGGUUCGGCCCAAUGACCCGCGGGUGCGUAAAUAUUCCGCACUAUCCCCCAAUAGUAAUAGUAGAAAGCCACCCACAUCAGAGAAUGGCUGAAGACUUCAUAGAAUUACUUUUGGCCCGGCUGUUUUUUUCCAAAUCCGCGUUACAGUGGUAGAAAGUGGGCCGAUCACGGAAUAACUCCUGCGGCGCUGUUUUCUCUAUCCUAUCGAUCUCAUUCGGCGUCUGGCUCUUCCGCUAUUCUAAUCUAAC